UACGUAGGUGGCAAGCGUUGUCCGGAUUUAUUGGGUUUAAAGGGUGCGUAGGCGGCCCUGUAAGUCAGUGCUGAAAUAUCCCAGCUUAACUGGGAGGGUGGCAUUGAUACUGCGGGGCUAGAGUGCAGAUGAGGUAGGCGGAAUUGACGGUGUAGCGGUGAAAUGCUUAGAUAUCGUCAAGAACACCUAUAGCGAAGGCAGCUUACUAGGCUGUAACUGACGCUGAGGCACGAAAGUGUGGGGAUCAAACAGG
rnacentral:rRNA from 1 species